ACAUGAUGUCGGGUAGGACUACCCGCUGAACUUAAGCAUAUCAAUAA
rnacentral:rRNA from 1 species